rnacentral:rRNA from 1 species
ACGGGGGGUGCGAGCGUUGUCCGGAAUCACUGGGCGUAAAGGGCGCGUAGGUGGCCUGGUAAGUCUGUGGUGAAAGCCCGGAGCUCAACUCCGGGUCUGCCGCGGAUACUGCGAGGCUUGAGUGCUGUAGAGGGGGGUAGAAUGCCGGGUGUAGCGGUGGAAUGCGUAGAGAUCCGGAAGAACACCGGUGGCGAAGGCGGUCUGCUGGGCAGUUGCUGACGCUGAUGCGCGACAGCGUGGGGAGCAAACAGGA